GACGAACGCUGGCGGCGUGCUUAACACAUGCAAGUCGAGCGGCAGCGCGGGGCAACCUGGCGGCGAGCGGCGAACGGGUGAGUAAUGCAUCGGAACAUGUCCAUGUCGUGGGGGAUAGCCCGGCGAAAGCCGGAUUAAUACCGCAUACGCCCGAGAGGGGAAAGUGGGGACCGCAAGGCCUCACGCGAUUGGGUUGGCCGAUGUCCGAUUAGCUAGUUGGCGGGGUAAGAGCCCACCAAGGCGAUGAUCGGUAGCUGGUCUGAGAGGAUGAUCAGCCACACUGGGACUGAGACACGGCCCAGACUCCUACGGGAGGCAGCAGUGGGAAUUUUGGACAAUGGGGCAACCCUGAUCCAGCCAUUCCGCGUGAGUGAAGAAGGCCUCGG
rnacentral:rRNA from 1 species